CAGCCUAAAUGUUUAUUCGGUCUUGUUCUUUCUGCAACAUCGCCCAGGAGUCAAUGUGGCUGCACAAGUUAAAGAUGACAGCUAAAGAUCAUCAGGAAAUUUAUGUUUGUACAUAUUAUUCGAUCUUGUACUCCCUCCGAUUCAUUACUUGUCUUAGAUUUGUCUAGAUACGAAUGUGACAUGUUUUAGUGUUAGAUAGAUCCGUAUUUAGACAAAUCUAAGACAAGUAAUAUGGAUAUGAGGGAGUAUUUUAUUAUGUUUGUACAUAUUAUACAUUAAUGAAAAUAUACCGUAGAAUAAUUAUUCUACAGUUUCAGGGUUAAGAAAAAGGAUCAUCAGGAACUUUAUGUUUAAAAUACACAGGUUUGCGUGUUUCCCUAAUUGUUCAGCACACUGCAGCUACCUCACCGAGCACCAGUUUCUGCUGAGAUAAAAGGAGAGAUGAAAUUCAUCCCCCAACCAUAUCAUCAAUUGUAUUAGCUUGAAGCUUUGUAUAUAUAAACACCAAUUCAUAAUGAUAUGUCAUUCUCAUUUGCUGAUUAUCAAUUAUAGACUCUAUACUUCUGCUACUAGCAUUUGAAUUGCUGGAUAUCACAAUCUGGCGCAGAAGAAAAAUGAAAUGGGUUGUACAACCGAGUAAUAAUUCUGACCAGUGUCCUGUUUUCGUGGACAGGUAAAGCAAAAAUGCCUGGUCUUAUGGGGAGAGGAUGAUGGAAUUAUUAGUAAUAAGCAAGCAUAUGUAAGUUUGCCUGAUGAUGCGAAAAUGCCAUGCAUGGUCUAAUUUGCAAGAUAUAUGCAUGUCUCAGAUACAAAUGCACGCCAUUCUAAACGUGUUGUGGCGCUCUGCAGCGGUUACAGCAGGAACUCCCAAGCGCAAUUUUAAGGCAGGUAGGGCAGUGCGGCCACAUUCCUCAUGUCGAGAAGCCAAGGGAGGCGGCAAAGCAUGUGCUCGACUUUCUCGGGGGCGAUGGUGUGGACAAGGCGGACCAGGUUUCUUCCCUGUCAUCAGCUCUGGUAUCAACAUGAGGUAUGCCAUUCCUCAUUGAAAGCCCUGCUUCUCCACCGUCCUGCUGCCGGUGAGCCAUCGACGUCUUACAUGCACCGCCCAAUGUGCUGCAGGACCCGGUGAACAGAGGACCGGACCCCUCAGGCUAGCGUGCACGAGGUAACAUGUACAUGGCGCACCUGUGCUGUUUACGCUCGCCCCAGCGGCAUCCUGCCUGCGUUCUGGACCGGCUUGGAGCAACCGAGUUGAUCAACAUACUUACAGGCCCCAAAUUCACCUCACCCGUGGAGAUGGAAAAGGUUGCACUAGACUAGCGAACUCAAACAGCUAUUCAGAGGCAGAAAUGUGUCUCUGACUCUGCUCGUCCGUCAGCUCCUCUUCUUUAGGGGUGUGUCCGGAUCUCAGCCGAAUAUUCGGCCGCAGGGAACGAGUGUGAAAUUUUCCAAGAUAUUUCUGAUGAGUUUUGAGCACUGAAAUUAAUCCUGGGUAGAUUAUGAGGGAGUAGAGGAGGAAGAGAUAUUCCAGUCAUUUUCAUUUUUUUAUUUUUUAUUUUUCUUUCAACCUCUACUUUGCUACUGACCAAUUGGUCCCUCUCGUGAACCCACCAGUCAGGCUGGCAACGCCAGCUCGCGGGACGCGCGCACGCAACUCCCUGCCUCUUCACGUUUUACUCCUACUCCUACUCCACUACCUCCCUCCUCAAUCCAUUUCCUCUUCCUCCUGGAUCCUCUUUCUGGUCGAGCUCGCCAGGGACACCGUCGCUCGCCGCUGCAACGUCAGCCAUAGGAAUAGGCGGGAUCCACCAGCCCUCCGUCCGGCUCGACGUCCACGCCCCACGGUCCAACAUGCAGGCCCGCAGGACGCCGCCGUGAAUCGCUUCAUUUUUCCAGUGAGUCCUUGAUCCUAGGUAGUUUUCCUAACUCUAUUCAGCUCCGGCUGUCGUUCUGGUUCGAUUCCUGGACACCGAGCAUGCAACAAACUUUUGGACCGAGGCCGCCUUCCUCUGUUUCGUCAGCUGCCGUUGCGACGCCACCGCGGUCGUCCUCCUCCCCGAGUAACUCCAGGAACCAUGACGGGCUCUGCGUCUCCUCUGGACCAAGGAUUCGAAGCCGCAGGUCUCUCUUACUUAUUCCAUAUUUGCAGGGUGAGAAGCUGUCACUGCCUUCUUGUGCCUUCUUUUCUUUGUCAGCGUCGUUUUUUCUCAUUCUAGCCGUUGCUGGAGACGGUUGUGGCGCUGCCACCUGAGACCAUUUUGGUCCGGGCCACAUGGUUAGGCCACAAGCUUGUUGCUGCUUACUGCUGUUUGAUGCUGCUACUUUUGUUGUUUGCUGUUUGUUGGCCGCUCGCUAUUGCUCUGCUUGCUACUGCUCGUGGGCUACCUGUACUUCAGAGAAAGAGAGAGCAUUUUGCUAUACAGAGUACUAUGUUAUGUUGAACCCUACUGUUCAUCAAUCCGGCAGUUUGCUUGUGUGCUUGUCUAGCUAGCUUGCACACGCGUAACUUUCCUGGGUGAUUUGAUCUACCAAGUUCAGAAACCAACAUAUUAGGCUAAGUCAAGUUGUCGCUGAGUACGAAAGUUUACUCUAAUAUUUGAUUUAUUAAGAAAAUCGAAAAAAAAAUGCUCAGCUUGCUGACUUUGUAAAAUCCAUAAAAAAUAUAAUCAUUCCAGUUCUGUUUGGAGUAGUACUGCUAUGGAGUUGGGAUGGUUUAACCUGUACUGUAGCCAUAAAAAUGAACAUAUCCAGGAUUGUUGUUUAGAAACAAAAGAUAAUGUACUCUAAAAAAAUACAUGUAUUUAAAAUUUUAAAAGCAUAUUUAACUUGUACUGGUGAAUAAGUGAUUUAAACUCAUCCAACUUAGUUUUGAAAAUGAACAAAUCCCUCUCAUGACAUAAUUUAAUACAUCAUAUUUAUGCAUACAUUGCCAAUUCAAUUUUCUGGUACGCAAUAGUUAAAAAAUAGGAACUGCUAGUACAUCAUACAUAUACGUAGUAUAUCAAAAAGCAUGGCUAGAGUUCUUUUGUUAUUAAAAUGCUCCCAUGUUCAAAAAAUAAUAAAAUAUUAAAAUGCUCCCUCUUGUGAGUUUAAUAGCAGCUUAGGAUAAAAUCCUGGAUCGCUAGAGUUGCUGCUCAAUCCAUUAGUUAUGAAAUACCAUUAACUUUUUGUGUUAAUAGCUGUUUUGGUAGAAAAUAGAAGCUUCAGCUAGCACCAAGUCAUAAACUGAUAGUAGAUAACUCCAAGAAGAAGUAGGUUAUCAGUUUGUCGUGGACCUUCUCAUAAACAAUGCUGCCAUGCUCUGAAGCUUCUCUAUACUUUACCGAUCUGUACUUCUGGUGGGCAAAUGCGAAGUGCCUCUCUUCAUCACCAGCUACAGCCGCUCCUUCAGCUGCAGCCAUGGAAAUUGCAGCCCAAACAAACAUGCCCUAAGUAGUACUAAGAAAUUAGUUAGAAAUAAUAUGUAAUGUAUAUAUAAAAUAACCAAGAGAUAUGAAAAUUCAUAUACAUAUUUUAUUUUAUAAUAGUUCUUUAUCUAAGAAGAUACAUAAUUCCAUGUAACCACAUUUCCAACCACCAUAUAACAGAUUAUGGUGCCAUUUCAUUAAUAAUAAUGAAGAUUAUCAAGAAAUGACCGGAAGAGAUGAACAAUAAAAUAAAGUAGCAUCUCUAUACGGGCAUCAAACAUAUCAUCCAUGCUGACGUAAUAAGCACAUACAUGUAGCAUUUGCACUGAACAGAACAUAUGAAGAUGAAUAAACAAUGUCAUACAAUAUUAAUGCAAGGGUAUCAUGGACAGAUCGAAAUGAAAAUAGGGCCUAUAUAAAAUCCUCUUUGAAAUUAUAAUCGGUGACCUAUCAUUCAAUAAGUUAUGGUUGAAAUAGUAAAUGUAUACUCCUUCCGUUCCUAAAUAUAAGUCUUUUUAGAUAUUUCAAUAAGGACUACAUACGGAUGUACAUAGACAUAUUUUAGUGUAGAUUCACUCAUUUUGCUCCGUAUAUAGUAGAUACAUUCAUUUAAGGGACAAACUUGGGAAAAGCUUUUUUGGACAGAGGGAGUAUAUCGAAAAGGUGUGUAUGAUUGAUAGUAGAGUCAUGAUGGCUUGUGUUAUAAUAAGCAAGCAGGGAAAAAGAAUGAAUUAGAAAUAACAAGCCUGGGUAAAAGUUGUUGUUUUGUAGACCAGAAACAAAGGCGCCAUACUGCAAAUCAGAUAAAUGUUUUGGAAUGGCUAAAGAGUAAAGAUAACAUGAAAAAAAUAGUGACUUUGGGCCAACAUAGCAGAAGCACGGGAUUACUGAUUUAGUGUCGCCUUACUUCUUAAAGCACAAAAUAGCACGGCUACACAACCUUGCUUUGAGCAAAGUGAGCAUAACAGCUACCCGCUACCCAUUAAGCGUAGUUAUGAAGGAAAAAGGACAACCUAACCAUAAUUGCAUAAUGAAUUAUUUUCCAGCAGAAACAACAUCAUGUUGGCCAACCUGAAAGAAAGGACUCACCUUUAAUGAAGAAGGAAGCCGAACACACUCACAUUAUAACAGCAACAGGAGAAUUUCCAAGAAUUUCUGGACUACAAAAAUUCAUAGAAACUCCAUUAUGUGGGACAAACUCACAAUUGGCGAGCUUGGUGAGCAAUUACACAGGGACACGAUUAAGCAAGCAGACUUAAGACCUGAUUCUAACAAUUGCCAACUGUGAAAUAAUACAAUUAGUGAGUGAAAUAUUACAUGCUAAGCAAGCCAACUCAAGAAACUGAUUCUAACCAAUUACCUUUAGACAAGUAGUCUAAAUUUCAUGUGACAUGUGGUGUUCAUUGAAUAACUGAUAAAAACAGAGGAAACAAUAGAAGAUGGUAAGAAAUAAUUUUAUGUUGCAGAAAUGAGAAUACUUAAUGAAGCAUUGGGGCAUAAGAAUAGAUAAAUGAGUCCUUAGUUAACUCUUUAGCAAGAUCUGCACAUCAAUCCAAAAGUAAGAGCUGUCUAUUGCUGAUCACUUGCUACACCGAUGAAACAUUCAUCCGAAUAUUAUCACUCACUAACCGGCAAAUUGGCACACACAAAACACACAUCAUGCAUGAGGUAAUGGCUCUAUAGGCAUCGACAACAUCACCGAUCCAUACCUGCGCACGAAUUGAUGAACAAAGGUGAGGGCACACAUGGCUAGCAUGGCAGGAGGAAGCAUUGGCAGGGAAGGCAAGAGCUGCAACCAAGGGAACCGUAGAGAAUAUCAGUGACAGGCACAACAAAUGGAAGAAAUUAAAUAAGCUAAUUCUUUUAGCAUUCAGCAGAACUGUACAAAGAACCGAAUGCCACCACAAAUUGAACCUAACAAGCCCACCAUAUUAGUAUAUACAAUAAUCAAGCGUCAUUGCAACUUUCAUUUAGGGGAAUCUAAAAGAGAGAAAUAAAUAUACCAAUCAACAUGGAACAUCCGGUUGUGCUUGUUUGCAUUUUCAAAUCACCGUGUUGAUCUUAAAAUAUUCCAGAAGAUAAGAACGGAGGCAUAGGCAUCACAAAAUAUUUGAAUGAUGAGAGAGGGUCCAUGCUAAAAUUUGCCUUGAAUGAUUGGGGUGUAGAGAAAUUUGGGAAGCUACAUCAUUGUUCAGGUUUACUUAGAAACCAAAGGAUAUUUCUCCCUAUCAUAUCCAGCAAGAAGUUUAGUGCGGAUGCACCAAACACCAUGAAUCUGAUCCUAGUCCAGCAUAAACUUGCCAUUCAACAAGAGAAAAUCGAAGAAGCGGCCUAGAGGGAGCACUCACCGGUAUGGUACUUCUCGACCGACAGCAUCAGCAUGCACUGUCAUGCCAUCCCCAGCUUACGCAUCAUGCAUAGUAUCAUCUUCAAACAAAUUUAACCUGUAGAGAAUAACAUUUUUUGAUCGAUAGGUAAGAGCAGUGCUAAAAUGUUCAUGGGAAAUCCUCUUUUGAGUUGUACAAAUGGUGAGACAUUAUUAAAGACACAAAGAAUAGCAUUAAGUAUACAAGCGUGACAAAUGGCACCAAACUCUUGAGGUUUUCAAUAUCUGCUGAAAUUGGGGUAUUGGAGUAAAAACUCAGUUCUCACAUAAUUUUCAAUUGCACACAAAGAAACCUUGACGUGGACAAAAUAAGCGCUAAGACUCUAGUUCAAAGAUAGGAGCACCGGAACUUAACUUACGGAAAUUACUUCAGAUAUUCGGCUCAGAUUGGCUGCUAGUUAUGAUGGAAAAUAUCCAAAAGGAAGAAAUAACUCUGGCCUUCUUCUUUUGUGAUGCUAAACAGCAGCAUAUGAUGAAUGAUAUGACAAUGGAACAACCAUGGUGACCUGCACAAAUUGUUACAUACAUACUAAGGCAUUAGUUCAAGUAAAUUAGUCAUUUUGAAUCGGUACAGUACUGCAUGUUGAUACAAGAAAAACUGGUUCCUGAAGAAAAGAGUUGUGACCUCUUAAGGCAAGACAAAAAGAGAGGGAGAGACCAAUAAAUUACUCAAUGAUGAAAGGACAGACCCAGUGCAUAGAAGCUCCCACACAAGGUGGGGUCUGGGGAGGGAUUAUAGGAACCUAGUCUUACCCCUGCA
rnacentral:lncRNA from 1 species